UAGUACCCCAAUUACAUAUGUCUGCCA
rnacentral:piRNA from 1 species